rnacentral:rRNA from 1 species
AGCUGCGGUAAGACGAAGGAUGCAAGCGUUAUCCGGAUUCAUUGGGUUUAAAGGGAGCGUAGGUGGCCUUAUAAGUCAGUGGUGAAAUCUCGCAGCUUAACUGCGAAAUUGCCAUUGAUACUGUAGGGCUUGAGUAUAGUUGCCGUUGGCGGAAUAUGACAUGUAGUGGUGAAAUACAUAGAGAUGUCAUAGAACACCGAUUGCGAAGGCAGCUAACGAAACUAUAACUGACACUGAGGCUCGAAAGUGCGGGGAUCAAACAGG